UCUGCCAUCGUAUAAUAUCAGACGAAUCCUGAUUCGUCUGAUUUGCCACUUGACGCGCCCCAGUUGUAGCCUAGUUGUUAGGGAUUCGAAACGUGUUCAGUGAGGAGCUAAUAAAUGUUCAGUGCGUAUCUGCGUUCCGUUUUAAACAUUCUUUUGGCUACUCGUUAAUGCACUGACAUUUGCCAUUUUUCGUACCAAUCUGAGGGACACUCUCUUUCACUCUUUUUGUAAAACAAAUCGUAAAUUGCUUCCCAGGCAGACACCCAAAGCCUCAAAGCCAUGGGUGAUAGAUGAUAUUCUCAGCGGCCAUAACUGUGUUGUAAAUUGGUAUCACUUUUACAAAGCCAAACUGAUUUAGAUCACGUGUCUACUGUGAAGAAGAUCAUGUGUCUCAACAAAAAUGGCCCUCUCUGUUUGCGAGACAUCAGACAUCCCCAGUGUGUCAUUUUGAUGCAGAGCUCUUGAAAUCAAGUUGAACAUUUUAAAACAUCUCAGGUCAAAGCUGAAGUUCUAGAGGUAUUAGAAAAGUCGUCGCUUUUUUGUUAGUUUCUUAGCCGUCCGAUGCAUCCAUUGGAAUGAUGUUCAUUUCCUCGACAUCAUUGCUCACGUAAUUUAAUAACUUUGUACUUCGAAAAAAGUUGUACUAAUCUUCAAUUUUUAAAAGAAAACUUUGAUGCAUUAUUCUUAUCUCGAGGUUAUAUCGACCUUCAAAGGGAAAUCGGAAGAGGGUAUUCUUCUCCUUGACACAAAGAAAGGAAAUUUAAGCAUUAGCAAGUCAUCCGCAUCCAAACAGAUCUAACGCACGAGGUAUUCCGCCUCGUCCAGCAACGCAUCCAUCAAAAGAAUGUAUUAAAGAGGAAAAUAAUUGACCAAGUGCCGACUCGACGAUUUCCAUGCAAGAUGAAUGUUAUAAAUCCAAGGAGAUCUGGUGAGCAGGAUGCAACGGACUAUGUCAUGUCAGACCAUUAGCUGAAUACAAUUAAUACCAUCAGUUCCCCAGAACGAGAGGUUAAUAAUCAUACUGAAUCAAAAGAGCAAUCAAGUUAAAAGAGAUUUUAAAAUGAUAACUAAAACCAAGUAGAAACGGAGUGCCCAUUGUUUAGAGGCUUAGAGACUCGGCAAAUGGUAUUACUGACCCAUUGUGACAGCGUAGACAAGGUUGCAGAAGGGUUGCGUUGCGUCGCAAAAUGUUCGCUUCGUAUUAUUUCCGCUAUUGCUGAUACUGAACGCCGUCUUUAUGGAGUCUAGUUCCAGGAUUUGAUUGAAAACGGACGAAAAAUUGUGCAUAACUUCUUGUUCAACAUCUGUGGAUUGCAAGGAGGUUUCACAUUGAAGAAACGCGAGCAGCAGUGUAUCAGCUACAUCCGGCGUAAGGUAGGACGAGAUAAGUUCGUGCUCAUGUUGGUAAGCGGCGGAGUUAAUUCCGCCAUUUGUGCUGCCCUUCUUCAUCAAGCACUUCUACAGGGUGACGACUCGUCCGGAGUGCAGGACAUACAUAUCGAUAACGGUUUCCUGCGUAAAGACGAAUCUGAGCAGGUCGUCACUAGUUUACAGCAACUCGGGCUCAAUCUUCGGGGACAGUGGCUUCUCAUUUCUUCUUCAUACCAGCGAUCAGAUUUGAUGUUUCGAAUCGUUUUGGGUUGCUAAAUCAAGUUUGACUUUAUACGAUGCUUCCACCAACGACGCCAAACUUUGUCGAUGUGUCGGGCUGUUAAUCCCGAAGAAAACGUCGAAUUGUUGGCGAUACGUUUGUCAAAGUGGCAGAUGGAACUGCUAACGGUUUAAAUCUCAUUUGGGAUAAUCUACUUCUCGGACAAGGUACUUUGAUGCCGGAUUUAAUUGAGUCCGCUUCGUAUAUGGCUUCUUCGCUAUCUGAUGCCAUAAAGACUCAUCAUAAUGAUUCCUAAAUGGUUCGUCAAUUGCGCCUUCACGGUCGUGUUGUAGAACCUAUUAAAGGAACAUGCCUUGAUCAAUCCGAUUGAAAUUGCGAGGUCGGCAGAAGAGCGUCUUCUUCUGGAAGAACUGUCCAGUCACAACCAGUAUGUUGCCACGCUACUGCCCAGUCGCACUGAGGAAAAACUAGAUGACGUUGACGACGUUGAUGUGCGUCUAUGAUAAUAAUUUUACAAGUGACAAGUUAAAUUGGUGAUAGUUGCGUUUCUAUCCUGUUUAGUGUUUCAAAGGAUUUUUCAUCAAAUAAUAACGUGCCAACCUGAGAGACACUUCUUUUCACGAUUAUUUGCAUGGUACACUCGAUUGUUGUUUGAAGGUGGAUUGUCACCAAACAUCCUUUGAAUGGUACGCCCUCAUCAGCAGCCUUACAAUGUGCUUCAUAAAUACAUCAACCCCUGAGAUCGUUGGAAAUUGUGUUUUUGUUCUCCACCUUUAUUAUCCACAUGCAAUUUUCACACUACUUUAUUACAUUCAUGGAAAACCAGGUGUGAUAUUAUAUCAUCCUGGAAAAAGGAUUCUGGAAAUUGAUGAUUUCUAAUAUACAACUGAUUUUUAGAAUGAGCUUCCAAUUUGAAGUUGUGAGUGAUUUAUCGGAUUAUGGAUUCCUACUUUGAAAACCAAAUUAUUUCCUUCUACAAAUGAAUUUGGAAGUAUCGUAUAUGUGGUAUUAUGUACUCAAUGAUGUGUGUACCAUUGUGUGCUGCAUAAUGUUAUUACUUUAUGGAAUCAGCUCAUUCAAUUGUAACCUAUUUUUGUAUUCAAAAUAUAGAUCUUCGCGGAGCCUUUAAUGCUUAAUUUACGUUAUACUAAAAAAUUCCCAUGGAAGGAAGUUCUUUCAGGAUCUGUUAUCGACCGUCUAUGUUAUGCAGUAAUUGGAUCUGCAGUUUAGUUAGAAACUUUAACUUAGAAAUGUGCUCAGCAUAGAUUUUAUAUGAAAAAUGAUAUUUGAUUGGAAAAAGUUCCUGGUUGAGACAAGA
rnacentral:lncRNA from 1 species